GACGAACGCUGGCGGCGUGCUUAACACAUGCAAGUCGAACGGAAAGGCCCUGCUUUUGUGGUGUGCUCGAGUGGCGAACGGGUGAGUAACACGUGAGUAACCUGCCCUUGACUUUGGGAUAACUUCAGGAAACUGGGGCUAAUACCGGAUAGGAGCUCCUGCUGCAUGGUGGGGGUGGGAAAGUUUCGGCGGUUGGGGAUGGACUCGCGGCUUAUCAGCUUGUUGGUGGGGUAGUGGCGUACCAAGGCUUUGACGGGUAGCCGGCCUGAGAGGGUGACCGGGGACAAUGGGACUGAGAUACGGCCCAGACGCCUACGGGAGGCAGCAGGGGGGAAUAUUACACAGUGGGCGCGAGCCUGAUGCAGAAACGCUGCGGGCGGGAUGACGGCCUUUGGGUUGUAAACCGCUUUAGCCUGUGACGAAGCGUGAGUGACGGUAAUGGGUAAAGAAGCACCGGCUAACUACGUG
rnacentral:rRNA from 1 species